rnacentral:rRNA from 1 species
AGAGACAGCAGUAGCCACGGUAAUACAGAGGGUGCGAGCGUUAAUCGGAUUUACUGGGCGUAAAGCGUGCGUAGGCGGCUUCUUAAGUCGGAUGUGAAAUCCCUGAGCUUAACUUAGGAAUUGCAUUCGAUACUGGGAAGCUAGAGUAUGGGAGAGGAUGGUAGAAUUCCAGGUGUAGCGGUGAAAUGCGUAGAGAUCUGGAGGAAUACCGAUGGCGAAGGCAGCCAUCUGGCCUAAUACUGACGCUGAGGUACGAAAGCAUGGGGAGCAAACAGGAUUAGAUACCCGAGUAGUCCAUGUCUCUUAUAC